AGAUUGCAGGCUGCAACCCGCCUGCAUGAAGUCGGAAUCGCUAGUAAUCGCGGAUCAGCAUGCCGCGGUGAAUACGUUCCCGGGCCUUGUACACACCGCCCGUCACACCAUGAGAGUCGGGAACACCCGAAGUCCGUAGCCUAACCGCAAGGGGGGCGCGGCCGAAGGUGGGUUCGAUAAUUGGGGUGAAGUCGUAACAAGGUACC
rnacentral:rRNA from 1 species